rnacentral:rRNA from 1 species
AGGACGAACGCUGGCGGCACGCUUAACACAUGCAAGUCGAACGAGAAACUCGGAGCUUGCUCUGGGUGGACAGUGGCGAACGGGUGAGGAACACGUGAGGAACCUGCCCUGGAGACCGGGACAACAUCGGGAAACCGUUGCUAAUACCGGAUGCCCUCAUCGGAUCGCAUGAUCUGAUGAGGAAAUGGAUUCCGCUCCAGGAUGGCCUCGCGGCCUAUCAGCUUGUUGGUGAGGUAACGGCCCACCAAGGCUUCGACGGGUAGCUGGUCUGAGAGGAUGUCCAGCCACACUGGGACUGAGACACGGCCCAGACUCCUACGGGAGGCAGCAGUGGGGAAUCUUGCGCAAUGGGCGAAAGCCUGACGCAGCGAUGCCGCGUGCGGGAUGAAGGCCUCGGUUGUAACCGCUUCAGCAGGACGAAUGACGGUACCUGCAGAAGAAGCCCGGCCAACUACGUGCCAGCAGCCG